rnacentral:rRNA from 1 species
AUUGAACGCUGGCGGCAGGCUUAACACAUGCAAGUCGAGCGAGCGGCGGACGGGUGAGUAAUGUCUGGGAAACUGCCUGAUGGAGGGGGAUAACUACUGGAAACGGUAGCUAAUACCGCAUACCAUCAGAUGUGCCCAGAUGGGAUUAGCUAGUAGGUGGGGUAAUGGCUCACCUGGGCGAAGAUCCCUAGCUGGUCGGAGAGGAUGACCGGCCACACGGGAACUGGGACACGGUCCAGACUCCUACGGGAGGCAGCGGUGGGGAAUAUUGCAAAAUGGGCGCAAGCCUGAUGCAGCCAGGCCGCGUGUGUGAAGAGGGCCUUCGGUUUGUAAAGCACGUUCAGCGAGGAGGCGUUACUCGCAGAAGAAGCACCGGCUAACUCCGUGCCAGCAGCCGCGGUAAUUC